UGGGCAACCUGCCCCAGACUCAGGGAUAACCCCCGGGGAAACCGGGGCUAAUACCCGAUACUCCGAUCGAACCACAUGGCUCGAUCGGGAAAGCUCCGACGGUCUGGGAUGGGCCCGCGGCCUAUCAGCUUGUUGGUGGGGUAACGGCCUACCAAGGCGACGACGGGUAGCUGGUCUGAGAGGAUGAUCAGCCACACUGGGACUGAGACACCGGCCCAGACCUCCGUACGGGAG
rnacentral:rRNA from 1 species